UCCUACAGUCCAUCUCUGCAUCACUUAGGGCCACUCCUUUCACCCAGAAGAUCAAGCCUCUUCACCUCAUCAUUUGCCACUUUAAUACGCUGUUCCAUAUUCUGACAAUGUGAUCUAUGUCAUUCCUUCAUGUCAUGUUUAAUGAGCUUUAGGUUUUCUUUUCACAUAAAAUUCAUAUGCAAAGAUUUGUCAAACCCCUUUAUAAAAGCAUCUUGUCACAUAUUUGUCCAUAAUGGAAAAUAUCAAAAUAUAUUUUUGUAUUUUGUAUGACUUAUGCAAUCAUAAAUCUCUUCUAGCAACAACAACAUUAUCUUCUUUCCACUCUUAUUUUUCAACAUUAUUAGAUGCUAGUCACAAACCAAACAUAAACUUCCAAAAACAGUUAUAAUUUAUGCAUAGUACUAUUACUAAUAUAUUCACAUGCAUAACUGUAUAAUAUAUUUCACAUGUCAUGCUAAGAAGUUCCUACGUGUCUUGCAUAUAAGAAUUGUCAGAUAUCAUACUCUAGAGUAUGUGGUUCCUCUAUCUAUCCCGUGAUCAAACAGUGAUUCAAAUUCAAUUAUUCUUAUGCAUCCACAUCAACUAGGAACAAACUUCCAAAAUAUACUUGGUAAACUUUUUGGAUUUUUCCUGAAAAAUAAAACUACUUUUAAAUACUUAUCUAUCUAGUAGGUAUGCUUGUGUUUUUCUAUUAUUACAUUUUCAAUUUUUGAGAUACAUUAUAAAAUAUGGAUACUCAUUGGAUUAGGACUAUACCGGUACAUGUCGUUGUCUGUGUUUGUGUCCGUGCUUUAUAGGUGAUACAUAGUUGAAUAGUAAAAUCUUUUUUUUUUUACAAAAGUUGAAUAGUAUAAUCAUAUAAGAUUAUGAAAUUGUAAUAUAUUGUUGAAUAGUAAAAUAAUAUAACAUUUUGUAAUACAUUGUUUAAGAAAACAAACCUGAAACCACAUUUUUUAAUUAGUUAAAGAUUAUAGGUAUUAGCAUGAUUGCACAAAAUAGUCUUUCUUAUUUAGGUAUUUACACAAACCCUAAUUUAAUUUGAUUGUCUUUAUCAUAGACAGCUAAAGGAAACUAGUCUACAAAAUCUUAUUAUUUAGAUUGUUUUCAUAGACAGCUAGAAGAAACAAAGAGCAGUAAAAAGAUAGAGGACUAGAUUCUAUUUUUGUUUUCAACAAGUUUCUUGCACGAUAGUUAACCCUAUUUGAGGCAUUGUGUUACACUAAAUGUGAAAUUUCGUUUGUGUGCACUCAAAACAUAUCAUGUAAUUACACACUCGGUACAUUCCUGGUUCUUCGAUUAAAAUCGGACAAGUCAAAUUUCAACCUCAAUAUUAUAGAUUUUAAAAUGUAUUCAAAACCUGCAACGUCCGAUCUUAAUUCAACAACUAUCGAUGUGUCAACUGUGUUAAUGCACGAGAUUUUGACUGCAUGCAAUCCAAAUCCCUAAAUGUGGAUAACUCUCUCCCUCGGAAUUCAAAUUUUAGUUCGCCACAUUAUGGGUUACUACCUAUUCGCUAGACCCAAUAUCGGUUAGUGGAAUAGUUCAUAUUCAAACAAUGGGUAUUACUAAGUAAAGUAGAACAAGUAACCAUUUUACGGUCGUUUCUGAAGAGAUUUGAACUCAAGUUAGUUGAAGUUAAAAGAUCAAACUCUUAUUACUGAUGUGACAUAUGAUUGAGAAAUAGUGUCUUAAAUAUAUUUAUAUAGACCUUCAUUAUUUAUUUAAAAGCACAAUACAAAUUUGCAUUCCCUUCACAAGAAGACAUUAUUUCUGAAAACUCAAACCUCAUCACAAUGUCUUGGUUCCUUACAAUUCUGUUUCUCAGUCUCACAUUUGGUACUAAUUUUUCAGAAGCAAACCAUGACAACAAGAAGCUUCUUCCUUCACCUGUUGUAGUUGGCACUGUCUACUGUGACACAUGUUUUCAACAAGCUUUCUCUCUAAACAGCCACUUCAUUUCAGGUAAUCCAUUUCAACCUCAAAAGGGUACUUCAAUUUUAUAUCUCUUAAAAUGUUGUAAAAUUUUUCUAAACCUUAUCAUAUUUUAUUUUGUCCUUGUUUUUAUGUAUAGGUGCAUCAAUAGCUGUUGAAUGCAAAAUAGGAAAAACAAAACCAAGAUUCUAUAAAGAAGUGAAAACAAAUGAACAUGGAGAAUUCAAAGUGAAACUACCUUUCUUAGUGAAGAAACAUGUGAAGAGAAUCAAAGGGUGUAAUUUUAAGUUGUUAAGUAGUAAUGAACCAAAUUGUGCUAUAGCCUCAACUUCUACUUCAUCUUCACUAAGCCUAAAGAAAAAGUUGCAACAAGAACACAUUUUUUCAGCUGGGAUUUUCUCAUUCAAGCCUAUAAAAAAACCAAAAUUUUGUGACAAAAAACAUAGUAUUCAUAACCUUAAGAAACAACAUAGUUAUGUGAAAAAUUUGGAACAAUCAAAAUUUUCAAGCAAAAAUAAAGUACCUAAUGAAGUUGAAGAUUUCUUCUUUUUUCCUCCAAACCCUUUUUUUCCACCACCUAUUAUCCCUAAUCCACUUCAACCUCCACCUUUGAUUCCUAACCCUUUGCAACCACCACCUUUGAUUCCAAAUCCAUUUCAACCACCAAGUCCACCCUUGAUUCCUAAUCCAUUUCAACCACCAAGUCCACCACUUAUUCCAAAUCCAUUUCAACCUCCUCCAUCAAAUCCACCACUUAUUCCUAAUCCAUUUCAACCUCCCCCAGCAAGUCCUCCACCACUCAUUCCAAAUCCAUUUCAGCCUCCACCAUCAAGUCCACCACCAUCAUUUCCUUUUCCACCAAUAGUAAUACCAGGUUUAACUCCAUCACCACCGCCGCCGCCACCACCAAAAUCAAUUUUUCCUGCUCCCUUA
rnacentral:lncRNA from 1 species